rnacentral:rRNA from 1 species
GACGAACGCUGGCGGCGUGCCUAAUACAUGCAAGUAGAACGCUGAAGGAGGAGCUUGCUUCUCUGGAUGAGUUGCGAACGGGUGAGUAACGCGUAGGUAACCUGCCUGGUAGCGGGGGAUAACUAUUGGAAACGAUAGCUAAUACCGCAUAAUAGCAGUUGUUGCAUGACAACUGUUUGAAAGGUGCAAUUGCACCACUACCAGAUGGACCUGCGUUGUAUUAGCUAGUUGGUGGGGUAACGGCUCACCAAGGCGACGAUACAUAGCCGACCUGAGAGGGUGAUCGGCCACACUGGGACUGAGGCACGGCCCAGACUCCUACGGGAGGCAGCAGGAGGGAAUCUUCGGCAAAGGACGGAAGUCUGAACGAGCAACGCCGCGGGAGUGAAGAAGGUUUUCGGAUCGUAAAGCUCUGUUGUAAGAGAAGAACGAGUGUGAGAGUGGAAAGUUCACACUGUGACGGUAUCUUACCAGAAAGGGACGGCUAACUACGUG